GACGAACGCUGGCGGCGUGCUUAACACAUGCAAGUCGAACGGAAAGGCCUCUUUCGGGGGGUACUCGAGUGGCGAACGGGUGAGUAACACGUGAGUAACCUGCCCUUGACUUUGGGAUAACUUCAGGAAACUGGGGCUAAUACCGGAUAGGAGCUCCUGCUGCAUGGUGGGGGUUGGAAAGUUUCGGCGGUUGGGGAUGGACUCGCGGCUUAUCAGCUUGUUGGUGGGGUAGUGGCUUACCAAGGCUUUGACGGGUAGCCGGCCUGAGGGGGUGACCGGCCACAUUGGGACUGAGAGGCGGCCCAGACUCCUACGGGAGGCAGCAGGGGGGAAGAUUGCACAAUGGGUGGAAGCCUGAUGCAGCAACGCCGUGUGCGGGAUGACGGCCUUCGGGUUGUAAACCGCUUUCGCUCAUGACGAAGCUUUGUGUGACGGUAGUGGGUAAAGAAGCACCGGCUAACUACGUG
rnacentral:rRNA from 1 species